rnacentral:rRNA from 1 species
GACCAUCAGCCGGUCCAAACGAGCCGCUCGGUCUGGCUCGGGCUUUCGUCGUAUCUAAGUGCGGCGGUUCUAGAGUUCUUUAAGACAGGAAGUAUGCGUGAGGGGGUGAAUGACACGGCUAUCGUUCUUAUCCCGAAAGUUCCCUUUCCUAAGGAACUAAAGGAUUUUAGACCGAUAAGCCUAUGUAAUGUUAUCUAUAAGAUCGUUUCAAAGUGCUUGGUCAACAGGCUACGGCCGAUGCUUGCGGAGUUAAUAUCAAAAAAUCAGAGUGCCUUUGUCCCAGGGAGGCUUAUCUCUGACAAUUCUAUAAUUGCUUUUGAAUGCCUUCAUCAUAUACAAUCAUUGAAACAGACCAGGCAGGCAGCGUGUGCUUAUAAGCUUGAUUUAUCGAAGGCAUAUGAUCGUGUCGAUUGGGACUUUUUGAAGAAAGCUCUUGGCAAGUGGGGCUUUGCCCAACAGUGGAUCUCAUGGAUUAUGGUUUGUGUGAAAUCUGUCAAAUAUUCGGUCAAAUUCAAUGGACAGCUACUGGAGAGUUUCAUCCCUUCUAGAGGAUUGAGGCAAGGUGAUCCCUUAUCACCGUUUUUAUUCCUUUUUGUUGCUGAUGCCCUAUCUGCUUUAUUCUCAAAAUCAGUUGAGGAAGGAUCCCUGAAGGGAGUGUCUAUAUGUCGUGGUGCACCAGUUAUUUCCCACUUGCUUUUUGCGGAUGAUACUAUGUUGAUGUUUGAAGCGUCUGGCCAGCAGGCGAGCAUUGUCAAGGGACUGUUGAACACUUAUACUUCAGCAACGGGUCAGCUCAUUAACCCAGAGAAGUGUUCCAUUCUUUUUUUAGACAACUGUUCGACUGUGGAGGCAGAUGAGAUCAAGCGCAUACUUGAGGUUACGCAACAGGUGUUUGAGCCAAAGUAUCUUGGUCUUCCGGUUCCGGAAGGGAGAUUGCAUAAGGGACAAUUUGAAUCAUUACAAGAAAGAUUGAGAAAAAGAUUAAUCGAUUGGAGUGAGCAAUAUGUCUCGUCGGGCAAUAAAGAAAUCUUGAUCAAGGCGGUGGCACAAGCAAUUCCCACGUAUGUUAUGAGUGUGUUCCGGCUACCGGCCUCUGUGUGUGAUGAUCUAACACGUAUGAUGAGACAGUAUUGGUGGGGUGUUGAACAAGGCAAGAGGAAGAUGGCUUGGCUUAGCUGGGAGAAGAUGAUUCUGCCCAAGGACAUGGGAGGUAUGGGAUUCAGAGAUAUGAGAGCGUUUAACCAGGCUUUACUGGCCAAGCAAGCCUGGAGAUUGCUCGAUAGCCCGGAUAGCUUAUGUGCACGCCUACUCCGGGCUAAAUACUAUCCCAAUGGAAAUCUUCUCGAUACAGUCUUCCCUUCUAGCUCGUCCGCUGUGUGGAAGGGAAUCUUGUUUGGACUUGAACUGCUA